rnacentral:rRNA from 1 species
GAUUAACGCUAGCGGCAGGCCUAAUACAUGCAAGUCGAACGGUAACAGGUCCAGCAAUGGAUGCUGACGAGUGGCGCACGGGUGCGUAACACGUAUGCAAUCUACCCUUAACUGGGGAAUAGCCCCGAGAAAUCGGGAUUAAUACCCCAUAAUAUUAUGAAGCGGCAUCACUUUAUAAUUAAAGCUCCGGCGGUUUUGGAUGAGCAUGCGCGAGAUUAGCGAGUUGGGGAGGUAACGGCUCAACAAGGCGGCGAUGUCUAGGGGUUCUGAGAGGAUUCACCCCCACACUGGUACUGAGACACGGACCAGACUCCUACGGGAGGCAGCAGUAAGGAAUAUUGGUCAAUGGACGCAAGUCUGAACCAGCCAUGCCGCGUGAAGGAAGACGGCCCUACGGGUUGUAAACUUCUUUUGUACAGGAAAAAACCACCGGUCGUGAACCGGUGCUGAUGGUACUGUAAGAAUAAGCAUCGGCUAACUCCGUGCCAGCCGCCGCCGUAAGAC